UACGGAGGGGGCGAGCGUUAUUCAGAAUUAUUGGGCGUAAAGGGCGCGUAGGCGGCUGUACAAGUCAAAGGUGAAAUCCCUCGGCUCAACUGAGGAACUGCCUUUGAAACUGUACGGCUUGAGGCCGGGAGGGGGUAGCGGAAUUCCCAGUGUAGCGGUGAAAUGCGUAGAUACUGGGAGGAACACCAGUGGCGAAGGCGGCUACCUGGACCGGUUCUGACGCUGAGGCGCGAAAGCGUGGGUAGCAAACAGG
rnacentral:rRNA from 1 species